rnacentral:tRNA from 1 species
AGGAUAAUAGUUAAUUAUAACAUUUGAAUUGCACUCAAAAAGUAUUGGGAAUCCAAUUUAUCUUA